CUCAGAUUUCUACAGAUUACUGCAUGGAAUAAAUCUUUUCUGUGUUGCUGGUUUUAAAUUAAGCAGGAGGGUUCACCCUGUGUCAUAAUACUAUUUAUCACUUGCUGCUUGUGCUUUUUGGCAUGCAAGUAGUCCUGGUUGGUAGCGUCACCAGGUUGACACCUCAUUU